AUUGAACGCUGGCGGCAUGCCUUACACAUGCAAGUCGAACGGCAGCACGGGGCAACCUGGUGGCGAGUGGCGAACGGGUGAGUAAUGCAUCGGAACGUGCCAUUGAGUGGGGGAUAACGUAGCGAAAGUUGCGCUAAUACCGCAUAUUCUGUGAGCAGGAAAGCAGGGGACCGCAAGGCCUUGCGCUCUUUGAGCGGCCGAUGUCAGAUUAGCUAGUUGGUGAGGUAACGGCUUACCAAGGCGACGAUCUGUAGCGGGUCUGAGAGGAUGAUCCGCCACACUGGAACUGAGACACGGUCCAGACUCCUACGGGAGGCAGCAGUGGGAAUUUGGACAAUGGCGCAAGCCUGAUCCAGCCAUGCCGCGUGAGUGAAGAAGGCCUUC
rnacentral:rRNA from 1 species